CUGCUUGACUAGCUGAGAGGAGGUGCAUGGCCGUCGUCAGUUCGUACUGUGAAGCAUCCUGUUAAGUCAGGCAACGAGCGAGACCCACGCCAACAGUUGCCAGCAUGUCCUCCGGGGAUGGUGGGGACACUGUUGGGACCGCCUCUGCUAAAGAGGAGGAAGGAAUGGGCAACGGUAGGUCAGCAUGCCCCGAAUUAUCCGGGCUACACGCGGGCUACAAUGGUCAGGACAAUGGGCAUCAACACCGAAAGGUGAAGGCAAUCUCUUAAACCUGUCCUUAGUUCGGAUUGUGGGCUGCAACUCGCCCACAUGAAGCUGGAAUCUGUAGUAAUCGCGUCUCAAAAUGGCGCGGUGAAUACGUCCCUGCUCCUU
rnacentral:rRNA from 1 species